UCCGUAGGUGAACCUGCGGAGGGAUCAUUAAUGAACGGCUUUGCCUUCAACCUUCAACCCGUGGAAGCAAGACGUGCUUUGGCGCUCCGGCGCCGACUUUAUGCGGUAGAUUUUUGUCUGAAUCAAGCAAGAACUAAAACUUUCAACAAAGGAUCUCUUGGCUCUCGCAUCGAUGAAGAACGCAGCGAAGCGCGAAAUGUAGUGUGAACCGCAGAACAUUGUGAAUCAUCGAAUCUUUGAACGCACAUUGCGCCUCCCUUCAACGGGAGGCAUGCCUGUCUGAGCGUCAUUUAAACCAUAGCCUAGGGCUGUAUUGGGCCUCGCGUGUGCGUAGCCUCAAAGCCAUCGGUCGAAAGCGGACGAGAUCCACCUGGACUGACCGUUUGAGACCUUAAACCUCCGACUUGACCUCAGAUCAGGCAGGGCUACCGCCUGAACUUAAGCAUAUCAAUAAGCGGAGGAAAUAUAUGGUUCCGGUGGUUACUUGCCAAAACCCCCCUUUUUUCUANGNUGACCUCNGAUCANGUANGGAUACCCGNUGAACUUANNCAUAUC
rnacentral:rRNA from 1 species